UACGGAGGGUGCAAGCGUUAUCCGGAUUUAUUGGGUUUAAAGGGUCCGUAGGCGGAUCUGUAAGUCAGUGGUGAAAUCUCACAGCUUAACUGUGAAACUGCCAUUGAUACUGCAGGUCUUGAGUAAGGUAGAAGUGGCUGGAAUAAGUAGUGUAGCGGUGAAAUGCAUAGAUAUUACUUAGAACACCAAUUGCGAAGGCAGGUCACUAUGUCUUAACUGACGCUGAUGGACGAAAGCGUGGGGAGCAAACAGG
rnacentral:rRNA from 1 species